UGCAUUCACUACUGUAAGUCGCUCUGGAUAAGAGAGUCUGCUAAAUGACUAGAA
rfam:Salmo salar isolate Sally breed double haploid chromosome ssa13, whole genome shotgun sequence.